GCGGCGGCGGCGGCGGCCUCGGCUCUAGGAUUCCCACCUUCCGAUCUCUGCAGGUUCUUUCCGGGUCAGGUUACACGCGGAAGCCCGAGAAAUUGCUGUUUAUGUAAAAUUUUGUGAAGGACAAAAUUUUGGAAACUCAAGCACUUGGGGAGAAAGAAGGAAAAAACAACAACACAACGCCUCAAAACUCAAAUGGAGGAGAAAUCGUUUAUGGACUUGGCUCAUCCAUCAAGAAAUCAAUAAGAAGAAAUAUUACUGUUUUUGAAAACAUACCUAAGUGGAUUGAUUCUACCUUCUUUUUUAUGUUGUGGCCUUGGAUUGUUCCUCCAAGUUCCGCCUAUGUAGAAAUUCUAGAGCUGAGUCCAGUUCUCAAAAGGUCAUCUGGAUGAGAAUGAAAGCAACAGAGAGAUUGUGUUUUUUAUAAAUUGAAGGUUUGUGGCAACCUUACAUUGAGCAAGUCAAUCGGCACCAUUUUACCAACCAGCUCAGAUGGUGGAAAUAUCUUUUAAUUAA